GUCAUCAAUGUGCGAGUUAUGACUGUGCGGUUUGUAGAUGAUAGAUAGAGACAAAUUCAACCAUGGCGAACAAUGUUUUGUUUUAUCUCUGAAUGUUUAAAAAGGACUACACUUUGAAUAAAACGGCCAAUUUUGAGUACAUUAAAUCUAAAGUGAUGGCAUAAUCUCCACAUCACUCAGCUUGUAGGAGGCAAUCCUAUUACAGAAGGCACAGGAUUAGUGGUGGUGGAAACUGGAAUGGCGCCUCCAAGAAGCAUUCUAUCUCCUAGGAUUGAUUGAGAUCUGACCACAUCUUGUGUCUGUAAAUACAAGCUGUCCUAAACAAAUCUGAGGUAAGCUCAUGAAGACAAAGUUCCAUCUUGUUUUUUCCAGGCCAAACAGGAUCUUACAGAAGAAUAAUACUGUAUUUGUCAAUUAACUAUAUGAAAACAUCUGUAUUCCCAG